rnacentral:rRNA from 1 species
UAACACAUGCAAGUCGAACGAGAAAGCCUGUCUCGGGUAGGAGAGUAAAGUGGCGCACGGGUGAGUAACGCGUGGGUACCUGCCCCUGAAUCGGGAUAGGGCCGCGAAAGCGGUGCUAAUACCGAAUGUCGUCACAGGGACCGUGGUCCCUGGGAUGAAAGGUGACCUCUCCAUGGAAGUUGCCGUUCGGGGAGGGGCUCGCGUACCAUUAGCUUGUUGGUGGGGUAAUGGCCUACCAAGGCUACGAUGGUUAGCUGGUCUGAGAGGAUGAUCAGCCACACUGGCACUGAGAGACGGGCCAGACUCCUACGGGAGGCAGCAGUGAGGAAUCUUGCGCAAUGGGGGAAACCCUGACGCAGCAACGCCGCGUGAGUGAAGAAGGCUUACGGGUCGUAAAGCUCUGUCAAGUGGGAAAAACGUCUUCCCAGUUAACAGCGGGAAGGCCUGAUGGUACCACUGGAGGAAGCACCGGCUAACUCCGUGCCAGCAGCCGCGGUAAUACGGAGGGUGCAAGCGUAGUUCGGAAUAACUGGGGCGUAAAGAGCGUGUAGGCGGCAAAGGUAAGUCAGGCGUGAAAGCCCUGG